rnacentral:rRNA from 1 species
GACGAACGCUGGCGGCGUGCUUAACGCAUGCAAGUCGAACGGAAAGGCCCUGCUUGCAGGGUACUCGAGUGGCGAACGGGUGAGUAACACGUGGGUGAUCUGCCCUGCACUUCGGGAUAAGCCUGGGAAACUGGGUCUAAUACCGGAUAGGAGCCAUUUUUUGUGUGAUGGUUGGAAAGUUUUUUCGGUGUAGGAUGAGCUCGCGGCCUAUCAGCUUGUUGGUGGGGUAAUGGCCUACCAAGGCGGCGACGGGUAGCUGGCCUGAGAGGGUGGACGGCCACAUUGGGACUGAGAUACGGCCCAGACGCCUACGGGAGGCAGCAGUGGGGAAUAUUGCACAAUGGGCGCAAGCCUGAUGCAGCGACGCCGCGUGGGGGAUGACGGCCUUCGGGUUGUAAACUCCUUUCGCUAGGGACGAAGCUUUUUGUGACGGUACCUAGAUAAGAAGCACCGGCUAACUACGUG